CCUACGGGGGACAGCAGUGAGGAAUAUUGGUCAAUGGGCGCGAGCCUGAACCAGCCAAGUAGCGUGCAGGAUGACUGCCCUACGGGUUGUAAACUUCUUUUAUAAAGGAAUAAAGUGAGGCACGUGUGCCUUUUUGUAUGUACUUUAUGAAUAAGGAUCGGCUAACUCCGUGCCAGCAGCCGCGGUAAUACGGAGGAUCCGAGCGUUAUCCGGAUUUAUUGGGUUUAAAGGGAGCGUAGAUGGGUUGUUAAGUCAGUUGUGAAAGUGUUCGGCUCAACCGUAAAAUUGCAAUUGAUACUGGCAGCCUUGAGUACAGUUGAGGUAGGCGGAAUGCGUGGUGUAGCGGUGAAAUGCUUAGAUAUCACGAAGAACUCCGAUUGCGAAGGCAGCUUACUAAACUGCCACUGACAUUGAGGCUCGAAAGUGUGGGUAUCAAACAGGAUUAGAUACCCUUGUAGUC
rnacentral:rRNA from 1 species